rnacentral:lncRNA from 1 species
UUCUCGAAUGUGAUGUCUCUUGAAUCAUUGGAUUCGUAUCGUAGAAAUGUUGAUGAAUAUCGUCUUUAACGAGUUGUUGAAGGUUCGUCCUGUAAGAUGAUAUUAGAAAUUGUUUGAUUGAGUUGCAAUCUUCGAUGUUGUCCAAUCUUCCUUGAUUAUCUUGUGGAUGUUCAUCUUGGUUUCUAAAAAUCAGCAGGAUUCACAAAGUUAAACCCGGGUACAUGCCCAAUUGAACUGAAAUAUUCCAUCACCUGACCCGUUUGCCCACUGUAAAUCGGGCACCCAUCCGAUAACACCACCACCUUAUCAAACAUCCAGUAUAACCUACUGGAUGGCUGAUGGAUUGUGGUGACCACACUCCUCCCCCCUCGAGCCAGCCCUUUCAAUGUUGCGAUAAUUCGUAGAGCUGUAGUCGAGUCCAACCCCGACGUAGGCUCAUCCAAAAGCAACAAACUCGGGUUAACUAGCAUUUCUUGCCCAAUACUAACCCUUUUUCGCUCCCCACCUGAAACACCCCGAAUAAGUGGCCCACCUACUAUGCUAUCACGACACGUAGUUAAUCCAAGUUCGGUUAUGAUGAUUUCUGCUUGUUGUAUUUUCUCUUCUCGGGUUAGAUUUUUUGGCAGCCUCAAAAGGGCCGCGUAGGAUAAGGUUUCGAUAACAGUUAGGUGUGGAUAUAACACAUCGUCUUGGGCUACAAAACCAGUUUUCCUUUUUAUUGAGUUAGUAAACGGCUGC